rnacentral:sRNA from 1 species
AGCCCGUGAACCUGGGAGUAUCCGAAAGGACUCCGAGAAAGUAAUGACUUUCUAGUGCAGGUGAACACGGGCUUU